GUGGAGUGAAAUCGGCUCACUGCAACCUCCGCCUUCUGGGUUCAAGCUAUUCUGCCUCAGCCUCCCAAGUAACUGGAUUACAUGUGUCACUAUAGCAGCUGAUUUGUUUGUAUUUUUCGUAAAGAUGAGGUUUCACCAUGUUGGCCAGGCUGAUCUUGAACUCCUAAACUCAAGUGAUCUACCCACCUCAGCCUCCCAAAAUGCUGGGAUUACAGGUGUGAGGCACUGCACCUGGCCCCAGAUUUUUGAUACUCUUAAACCUUCUGAUCCUUAGUUUCUUUCUCCAAAAUACUCUUUCUAGGUUUAAAAAAAAAAAAAAAAAAAAAAGCUCUUUUUUUUGGUGCUAUGUAAGUGAAUAUGUAAGUGAAAAUGUAAGCGCUAUAUAAGUGAAAAUGUUUUUUAGGUUUUCUUGAUUUAAUAAUAGAGACAGGGUCUCCCUAUGUUGCCCAGGCUGAUCUCGAACUCCUGGGCUCAAGAGAUCCUCCUGUGUCAGCCUCCCAAAGUGCUAAGUAAGAUUACAGUCGUGAGCCACCACACCCAGCUGUAAAAAUGUACUUAUUUUCCAGCCUCUUUUGUAUAAACUGUAGUAAGGGAUGGGAGUAUUGAUGUUAUCUGAAAAUAGCCACCAUUUACCCAUAAGAUAAAACUUGUUAAAGCAUCCUGAGUCUAACUUAGUGCAUCAGGCCCUUUUUCACACAAAAAAAUCCUUUUUGGGAUUUAAUGGAAUCUGUUGUUUCCCCCUAAGUUGAAAAACAACUCUAAGACACUUUAAAGCAACUUCUUGGCCUGGGUUACAUAGUUCCCAGACUAGGUUUCAGCCUUCUGCUUAAGGCCAGUUUUAGAAACCCGUGAAUUCAGAAAAGUUAAUUCAGAAAUUUGAUAAACAGAAUUGUUAUUUAAAAACUAACUGGAAAGAUUAUAAGUUCUUUCCGAAUUACUCAGAAAUGAUGCAUCAUUUUCCUUCAAGAAUGACAGGGUCAGAAUGUGGAAUCCAAGAUACCUCUUGACUUCCUCUCAAGCUCUGUGUUUGCUCAGUGGAGGCCCAUCCCAGCUCAGCAUGUGUACUGAGAAGUGUUGGUUUCUUUGGGCCCCAUCUACCCUGACCACAUUAUGAUGUUCAUCUGCAGCAGUUGCAAGGUGUUCAGAGUGUGUAAAUACAAAUGGCAUAAACACUUUAAAAGUGCAGUCCUCAAAAGGUUAGGUGGACUCAAGCAUUCUGUAAAGCAACUAUUAAUAAUGAGCUUACAGUGGAUAAUUCAUUUGAAUUUGAAAAAUACAGAAACGAGCCUGUCAUACACCAGCAAGAGCUAUGGAAUAAAACUACUGAUGGAAUUAAGACAGUUGAAAAGAUCAAAUGCCAAGCUAAAUGUAUAAUGAACAAAUUGAAGAAAAAUAAAGGACUACAGAAAGUUCAGGACAUCAAAGAAAUUAGACAAAACUCAUCUUGACCCCUCUUGCAGGCAAAGGAAAGCAGCUGGAAGAAAAGAUGAUACAGCAGUUAAAACAGGAUGCAGACGUGGCAGAGGUUUCUUAAAAAAUCUCAUUGUCUAUAACCAUUUCUGUAUUUACAUUUGUGAAAAUCUCCUUUGGAGACUUAGAACCUCUAAAUUAUUGACUUAUUUUUUAUAUAAGGUCACUCAAAGGUGAUU